rnacentral:rRNA from 2 species
GUGCCUUCGGGAACUGUGAGACAGGUGCUGCAUGGCUGUCGUCAGCUCGUGUUGUGAAAUGUUGGGUUAAGUCCCGCAACGAGCGCAACCCUUAUCCUUUGUUGCCAGCGGUCCGGCCGGGAACUCAAAGGAGACUGCCAGUGAUAAACUGGAGGAAGGUGGGGAUGACGUCAAGUCAUCAUGGCCCUUACGACCAGGGCUACACACGUGCUACAAUGGCGCAUACAAAGAGAAGCGACCUCGCGAGAGCAAGCGGACCUCAUAAAGUGCGUCGUAGUCCGGAUUGGAGUCUGCAACUCGACUCCAUGAAGUCGGAAUCGCUAGUAAUCGUGGAUCAGAAUGCCACGGUGAAUACGUUCCCGGGCCUUGUACACACCGCCCGUCACACCAUGGGAGUGGGUUGCAAAAGAAGUAGGUAGCUUAACCUUCGGGAGGGCGCUUACCACUUUGUGAUUCAUGACUGGGGUGAAGUCGUAACAAGGUAACCGUAGGGGAACCUGCGGUUGGAUCACCUCCUUACCUUAAAGAAGC